rnacentral:misc_RNA from 1 species
GAACGCACCUUGCGCCCUUUGGCCAUUCCGAAGGGCAUGCCUGUUUGAGUAUCAUGAACACCUCAACUCAUUAUGGUUUUCCAUGGUGAGCUUGGACUUUGGGGGUUUUGCUGGCCUACGGUCUGCUCCUCUAAAAUAAAUCAGCUUACCAGUGUUUGGUGGGUAUCAUGGGUGUGAUAACUAUCUACGCUUGUGGUUUUUCCACCAGGUAACCUUCGGCAGUGGAGGUUCACUGGAGCUCAUAGACGUCUCUCCUCAGUGAGGACAGCCCUUUGAAUGUUUGAUCUCAAAUCAGGUAGGACUACCCGCUGAACUUAAG